rnacentral:rRNA from 1 species
ACUUUAUUUUAAAUUACUAGUCUAUUUAAAGAAAAAUAAUGUAAAUUUCUAUAAUUUAAUUUAUUUUAAUAAAUUGCUAUUCAUAAAAAAAUUAAAUUUUCUUUUAUUAGACAGAAAUAUUUCUAUUAUUUUUGUUUAUAACUAUACACAAAAUUUAAAUUACGGUAAUAAAGUAAUUUGCAUAAAGAAUUUAGACUUUAAACUGGUAAAAUUAUAUAAUUAUUUUUUAAUUAAUAUAUAAUUCUUUAUUUACAACAAAAAAUAGUGUUUAUUUAUAGUAUAAUUUAAUACAAAUUAAAUUAGAAGAUGUUAAAACUACUUAAUUUACUAAAAAAAUUCUAAUAUGAUAGAGAAGAGUACUGUGAAGGAAAGAUGAAAAGAAUUUUUGUAUAAAAAUAAAAAGAUUUUGAAAUUUAAUGGUAUAUGCAGUUUUAGCGUGUUGUUAAAACGUACCUUUUGUAUAAUGGACUGACGAGUUUAUGUUAAAAGCAAGCAAGAUUUAAAAAUUGCGUAUCGAAAGAGUUUUUAAGUUUUUAAUGUAAGACCCGAAGCUAAGUGAUCUAAUUAUUAUUAGGUUGAAAAUUUAAUAAAUUGGAAGACCGAACUCGUAAAUGUUGCAAAAUUUUGAGAUAAAUAAUAAUUAGGGGUGAAAGGCUAAUCAAACUUAGUUAUAGCUGGUUUUCUAUGAAAUCUAUUUAAGUAGAAUUGUCAAUUAAUAGUAACAGUAGGUAUAAUUAUUUUUUUUGCAAAUUAUUUAAAUUAAUUUAAUAAAAAAAAUUUUUUAAUUACUGUUAUUAAUAUUGAUAGACAGAUUAAUAGCGCUAAGGUUUUUAAUCUAGAGGGAAACAGCCCAGAUUAUAAAUUAAGGUUUUUAAAAUUAGUUAAUUUUUAAGGUUAGUUAAAUUUGUAAUAAUUAAAAGGUAAGCUUGGAAGCAGCUAUCCUUUAAAGAAAGCGUAAAAGUUCAUUAAUUAUUAUAAUAAUGUAAAUAUUUAUUUGAAUUUAAUUAACUAAAAAUGUUUUGAAAAUAUACUAAUUUACCGAAAUUAUAAAUCUUAAUGGAUGGUAAUAGAAUAUGCUGUAUUUUUUAUUAAAAUUGAGAAAUUUUAAAUUAAAAUCAGUAUAAAUAAUGUCAGUAUUAGUAGUAGAUAUAAUGUGUAAAUCAUUAUUGCUUUAUGAGUUAGAUUUACUUUAUAAUGAUAAUCUGAUAAAGUGUGAUACUAUACUAAAAAAUAAAAAUAUUUUUAUUUUGAUGUGUAUUUUAAUUGUAUUAUUUAUAAAAUUAUAUUAUUAUUAUUAUUUUUAAUUUAUAAUUUUUUAAUAAUCUAGAAAGCAAUUAAAUUUUUUAAUAGUAUUAAGUCUAACGCAAGUAUUCUAGUUGAAUAAAUGAAGGCAAAAAGAUUAAUAAUAUUGAAGGAACUCGGCAAAUUAACUUUGUAACUUCGGGAUAAAAAGGACUAAAUGUAACACAAAAAAGGGGGUGGCGACUGUUUAUUAAAAACAUAAGAUUUUGCUAAAUUUUCUAAAAUGACGUAUAAGAUCUGACACCUGCCCAAUGCUGCAAGGUAAAAUGAAAUGGUAAUGCUGUUUCUAUAAACCCCAGUGAAUGGCGGCCGUAACCCUGACGGUCCUAAGGUAGCGAAAUUCCUUGACGGGUAAGUUCCGUCCUGCAUGAAUGGUGUAACGACUGCCCCGCUGUCUCCAAUAUUAUUCUUACGAAAUUGAAUUAAUUGUGAAGAUGCAAUUAUUUUACAGUUAGACGGGAAGACCCUAUGCACCUUUACUAUACCCUAUAUUUUAAAAUUAAUUAAAAUAAUAUAGAUUAUGUAGGAAAUUUAUAUUAAAAAUGGAAAACUACUUUAUUUUAGUUAAUUUUUUAAAUAUAUAAAAACAAAUUUUUAUAUUAGAUAUAGGUUGGUAGUUUGGCUGGGGCGGCCGCCUCCUAAAAAGUAACGGAGGUGUAUAUAUGUUCCUAAAUUAUAACAUUUUUUGGUUAUUAUGAAUUGGAAUAAAUUUUUAGGGACUGAUUAAUAUACGGACAUGUAUUUUAAGGAUAUUUAUUAUCUAUUAUAUUGACCCGGUAUAUUUUUGUAGAAAAAUUAUCGAGUAACGAAUAAAAGGUACGCUAGGGAUAACAGGCUAAUGAAUUUUGAGAGUUCUUAUUGAUAAAUUCGUUUGGCACCUCGAUGUCGGCUUAUCAUAUCCUGGUAGUGUAUAAGCUAUCAAGGGUUCGGCUGUUCGCCGAUUAAAAUGGUACAUGAGCUGGGUUUAGAACGUCGUGAGACAGUUUGGUCCCUAUCUGCUGUGAAAAAACAGAAAAUAAACAAGAGUUGACUCUAGUACGAAAGGACCGAGAAAAGUUAAUCAAUGGUGAAAAAUUACUAAUUAAUUUUAGUACGUUUUAAAGCUACAUUAAUGUUAAGGGUAACAUAAAAUUUAAAUUUAAAGUGGAACCUAGCUUGUAUUAUUUUCUAAUAAUAAUUUAUAAGAUUAAUAAAUUUAUGUUUUUUUUAGUGUGAAACGCUAGUAAUAGUAGAGCACUGAAAAAUAUAAUUAUUAAUUUUUAAUACUGUCUAGUUGA